rnacentral:rRNA from 1 species
UACGUAGGGAGCAAGCGUUAUCCGGAUUUACUGGGUGUAAAGGGCGUGUAGGCGGGCAUGCAAGCCAGAAGUGAAAUCUGGGGGCUUAACCCCCAAACUGCUUUUGGAACUGCGUGUCUUGAGUGAUGGAGAGGCAGGCGGAAUUCCCAGUGUAGCGGUGAAAUGCGUAGAUAUCACGCAGAACGCCGAUUGCGAAGGCAGCAUACCGGCGCCCAACUGACGCUGAGGCACGAAAGCGUGGGGAUCGAACAGG